AAUAAAUUUGAAAAUAAUGUAGGAACUAUUAACAUUUUCUUUAAAUAUAUAUUUUUGCCCAUUUCUUAAUUUUACUUUUUUUUGUAGAUUUUCAACAUGGACUAAUUAUCCAAUAUAAAAUCGGACAUUUUAUGAAUUUAUAGAUCUGUAAAAAUAACCCUAAUUAUAUUAAUCACAAGUAUGGUAAUUGUUUAUAUUUAAAAUGAUUAAUUAAAACAGACACCGACCAGUGGCGCAUGCAAAGGGGAGGAGGUUAAAGCCAGCGUGCACCCCUGCCGAGUCCUCUAGAUUAUAUAUAGGGGACAAAUCCCUUAAAUUAAUAGAUUGUAACAUUUUAUUUGUAAUAGUUAAAAUAACCUCAGAGCUAAAAAUAGGUUCUUCGUUCCUUAUAAGUUAUAAAUUAUAAUAUUGGUUAAAUGUUGCUUUUGUGUUCCAAUGACGUGAUAAUAACGCCAACAUUACACAGCUAGAUACGGCAUUCCAGCCAGCAGCUAUUAAAGCUCCUCCUACUCUGCUCCUAAAACUGUUCAUAACCUUUAUUGUGUCACGCAACCUUUCACCCGAAAAGAAAGAGAAAAAAAGGCUCCAAAAUCAAUUGGCAGUUAGCCAAUUCUUCCCAACUAUGGAAUUAUUAUUCAAUAGGUUAUUCAAAUUCAACCAAUCCACGUUCAAAACUCUUAUUAGCGGAAAGAAGCAGAAACCUCGACAGCUGAGAAAAAUACUUCUAACUUUUUUGUGUUAGUGAGGUAUGAUUGUAUGAAUGAUGGCCGUGUCAUAGCUAAAUUCUCUUUCUCUCUUCUUCUUCAUUCUUUUUCUUUUCACUUUUCUCCUUCUGGCUUCUGAUCUUUUGGUGUAUUGGGAGUCAAUGAUUUAAGUCUAUGAUCCUCGUCCCUUUUGAAAUCCGUUGAUCUAGAACGCUUUUGGAAGAAGACUGGAGACAUGUCUCGAGAAGCUGGGACGAGUAGCGGGCAAAUGUUGUCCUCCAAGAAGAAGUUCGGGUCUAUUAAAUUGGACAUAUCGAACAGCGUCCUCCCGCUGGAAAAGUUAGGUAAUCGAGUUUCGAGCCGCGAUGGACUUGCUCAGGAAUUGGAAACGGCCUGCCGUAAUUCUGGAUGUGAUCUUAUUCAGUUGGCAGGGAAGCUGCUGCGGCUUCCGCAAGUGGCCAUGGCAACAGGCUGUGUACUUUUGCAACGGUUUUAUUACGCCAAGUCUAUUGUGUAUUAUCCCUUCGACAUUGUGGCCAUGGCUUGCCUUGUUCUCGCCUCCAAAAUUGAGGAGUCCCCUCGACGAAUUCGUGACAUUAUCAACGUUUUCACUCACAUCAAGCAGGUUCGGAACAGCCAGCCUAUUGUUCCCGUUUCUCUUGACCAAAAUUACGUCAACCUGAAGAAUCAAGUGAUUAAAGCCGAGAGAAGAGUCCUUAAAGAGUUGGGCUUUUGUGUGCACGUCAAGCAUCCCCAUAAAAUCAUCGUUAUGUAUCUCAAAUGGCUCGAACUCGAUACAAACAAAGAGCUCCUACAAAUGUCAUGGAACUUUAUGAAUGAUAGUUUGCGUACAGAUAUAUUUGUUCGUUAUCCACCCGAAUGUGUUGCUACGGCAUGUAUCUAUUUAUCUGCUAGGAAGCUCAAAGUGCCUCUUCCCAAAAAUCCUGCGUGGUUUGACUGUUUAGGGGUCGAGGAAGACGAUAUUAAAGACUGUUGUUAUAGAAUGAUAUGUCUUUAUAACCGUAAAAAACCCAAUCAACUGGAAUUGGAGAAGAUGCUUGAUGUACUAAGAAAAAAGGUCGAUAAGAAUCGUCAGCUUUCAAGGGAACAAUCUUGUUCUAAUUCACGUCAAGUAUCAGAAAAUCCAACUCCUUCUGAUUCCCCUCAAGCUGCUAAUAUUCUGGGUCCGGUUAAUUCAUCUGCUACUACCACAACCAAUGAUGCAGACGACAAAACCAUGUCACAGAAUAAUCACUUGAAGGAUGAAAAUUAUCGUUACAACACUAGCAAAGAUGUUCGUCGGAGUUCUAGAACUCCAGAAAAGAAAAAGAAGCGCAAAGAUAGAUCCGAGUCCAGGUCGAGUUCGUAUGAUGAUAGUCGUAGACGUAAGAAAAGUAAGAAGUACAGGCGAAAAAGUAUGAGUCGGUCUCCCAGUGAAAGCGUGCCUCGGAAAAAAUCCAAAAAGACUCACAAGGACAAAUUCAGUUACAGCAGGAGUCGGUCGCGCUCGAAGGAAAGAUCUAGACAUCGAUAUAAUUAUCACCGAUUAAUUUCAUUGUUUGAAUACAAGGCACCGAUGGUUUAUUUAGAGUGGAUGAUUCAAUUGGUAUCAGAUCAAGUUAUGUGUUUUUACAAGAGAAUUCGGCCUCCUUAAAACUCGUGGUCGAUUGGAAAUUAGCUUCUGAUGGGUAUGAAGAUUUUUACUUGAAAAAGGUCAGUACUGCACCUUUUCAGAUUCAAAUCAACGGGAAUUUCUACUCACCAACCAAUUUCGUACUUAAAACAUCGAUCCAUCUGUACUUUAAACUAUGGUUACGAAUAAUAUUUUCGCGGUUCGAUGUUGAAAUUGGUUCAUUUCGUUCAAAAAGACACAUCAAACUCCAUACUUUAUAUUGAGUUUCUGAUCACAUUUACGACCCCUUUCUCCUAACAAAAUGGUAAUGAUAACUCAAAGGAGAAGCUAUCACACUUCUAAAUGGAAUCCAAGCUUACAUAUGGAUAUAUUAAUUACAUUUUUGUAUUAAAUCCCGUGUCAUGUAUCUGCUCCUUUUUUUUUUCUUUUUUUUGAGAAUCAAUAUAAUAUGGAUCAUAUUUCAAAUAGUUUCAUUUUUAAUUUUCAUAAUGUUCCAAAAAUUUUGAGAGUUUUAAAAUAAGUGGGCUAUGUGAUUGGGAAAUGUUCCGUUAAUAGUUAUUUGUAAUUUUUUGUUCUGACAAGUUGGCCUCAAUCCUCAAUAUAUAUUUUAAAAAUUA
rnacentral:misc_RNA from 1 species